AUGUGUGUACCAAAAAACCAAGGAGGAAUGGGAUUCUGUGAUAUCCACUGUUUCACCCUAGCUCUGCUUUCCAAACAAGCAUGGUGUCUCCUUGAUAAUCCUGACUCCUUGUGUGCUACUAUUCUAAGAGCCAAGUAUUAUCCUGAUGGUGAUUUGAUGAAUUCCAAGCCAAAGCAUGGCGCGUCUUUCACUUGGCAAAGCAUUAUGGCAGGUAUUACUACUCUGAAGCAUAGCUAUAUUUGGCGACUGGGGGAUGGACAUAACAUCAAAAUUUUGGAACAUGUCUGGAUCCCAAAUUGUGCCACUAGGAAGAUUGUGACUCCCAAGGGGGGACAUUUGUUAUCAAAAGUGGUUGAUUUGGUUGACCCUACCUCCAAUGAUUGGGAUGAGGAACUGGUUAGACAAACUAUGUGGCCCAUUGACGCACAACAAAUUCUUUCAAUCCCAAUUCUGCAACAUAAUAUGACAUAUUUCAUUGCCUGGAGUUAUACGAAAAAUGGUAUAUUCUCGGUAUGAUCAGCUUAUUCUGUGGAGUGGAAUUAUCAGUAUGGGAGUAAACUGAAACAUUCUAACGGGAUGGGGCGAGACACAAACCCUAUAUGGUGUCAUAUAUGGAAGUUAUCUUGUCCAACAAAAGUCAAAAAAAUUAUAUGGCGUACAUUACAUGGCACUCUCCCAUGCAGGGCAACACUCACUAAUAGACACAUGAAGGUCUCGCCCUUCUGUCCUGCUUGCUCUCAGUGUGUAGAAGAUACAAAGCACAUGCUUUUCCUAUGUAUUAAAUCAAAGGAGGUUUGGAAAAGGCUAGGGAUGGAUGUGACUAUU
rnacentral:rRNA from 1 species